CCCCACUGCUAUCGGGAUGGGACUAAGACAUGCUAGUCAAGCGCCUUCCAGCCAUGUGGGAGGUGCGGCGCACAGCUCAGUAACACGUGGCUAACCUGCCCUUGGGAUAGGGAUAACCCCGGGAAACUGGGGCUAAUACUUGAUAGGCGAAGGUAACUGGAAUGGUUUUUCACCUAAAGGGCUUUAGAAACAUGCUUCUAACGUCGCCUGAGGAUGGGGCCGCGUCCGAUCAGGUUGUUGGUGAGGUAACGGCUCACCAAGCCUAUAACCGGUACGGGCCGUGAGAGCGGUAGCCCGGAGAUGGGUACUGAGACAAGGACCAGGCCCUACGGGGCGCAGCAGUCGCGAAAACUCCGCAAUGCACGAAAGUGUGACGGGGCUACCCCGAGUGCCAUCCGCUGAGGAUGGCUUUUCUUUGGUAUAACUAGCCAGGGGAAUAAGGAGAGGGCAAGACUGGUGUCAGCCGCCGCGGUAAUACCAGCUCUCCGAGUGGUAGGGAUGAUUAUUGGGCUUAAAGCGUUCGUAGCCGGCUUAGCAAGUCUCCUGUUAAAAUCAGCGACCUAAUCGUUGAAUCGCGGGAGAUACUACUAGGCUAGGAGGCGGGAGAGGUCGACGGUACUUCUGGGGUAGGGGUGAAAUCCUAUAAUCCCGGGAGGACCACCAGUGGCGAAGGCUGUCGACUAGAACGCGCCCGACGGUGAGGGACGAAAGCUGGGGGAGCGAACCGAUUAGAUACCCGGGUAGUCCCAGCUGUAAACGAUGCGGGCUAGGUGUUGGGAUGGCUACGUGCCAUUUCAGUGCCGCAGGGAAGCCAUUAAGCCCGCCGCCUGGGGAGUACGGCCGCAAGGCUGAAACUUAAAGGAAUUGGCGGGGGAGCACCACAAGGCGUGAAGCUUGCGGUUC
rnacentral:rRNA from 1 species